AUUGAACGCUGGCGGCAGGCCUAACACAUGCAAGUCGAAUGGUAACAGGAAACAGCUUGCUGUUUCGCUGACGAGUGGCGGACGGGUGAGUAAUGUCUGGGAAACUGUCUGAUGGAGGGGGAUAACUACUGGAAACGGUAGCUAAUAUCGCAUAACGUCGCAAGACCAAAGAGGGGGACCUCUGGGCCCCUUGCCCUCAGAUGUGACCAGAUGGGAUUAGCUAGUAGGUGGGGUAACGGCUCACCUAGGCGACGAUCCCUAGCUGGUCUGAGAGGAUGACCAGCCACACUGGAACUGAGACACGGUCCAGACUCCUACGGGAGGCAGCAGUGGGGAAUAUUGCACAAUGGGCGCAAGCCUGAUGCAGCCAUGCCGCGUGUAUGAAGAAGGCCUUCGGGUUGUAAAGUACUUUCGUCGGGGAGGAAGGGAGUAAAGUUAAUACCUUGGCGCAUUGACGUUACCCGCAGAAGAAGCACCGGCUAACUCCGUG
rnacentral:rRNA from 1 species